ACUCUCUUAGUAUAAGUAAUAUAACUGACUUCCAAUCAGUAGAUUCCGAUACUUACGGAAGAGAGUA
rnacentral:tRNA from 1 species